UAGCAGGAUAAGUUACAGUGCAACUUGGUGUGGUGCUGCACUGUCGUUCCCCCUGCAGACAAUAAAUUGUUUCCUGCUAUCCCUGUCAGCAAGCAUCCUACAGCUGGCGGGGACGUUAGGUCUCAGACAC